AUUGAACGCUGGCGGCAUGCUUUACACAUGCAAGUCGAACGGCAGCGGGGUAGUGCUUGCACUACUGCCGGCGAGUGGCGAACGGGUGAGUAAUAUAUCGGAACGUACCGAGUAAUGGGGGAUAACCAAUCGAAAGAUUGGCUAAUACCGCAUACGUCCUGAGGGAGAAAGCGGGGGAUCGCAAGACCUCGCGUUAUUCGAGCGGCCGAUAACUGAUUAGCUAGUUGGUGGGGUAAAGGCCUACCAAGGCGACGAUCAGUAGCGGGUCUGAGAGGACGAUCCGCCACACUGGGACUGAGACACGGCCCAGACUCCUACGGGAGGCAGCAGUGGGGAAUUUUGGACAAUGGGGGCAACCCUGAUCCAGCCAUGCCGCGUGUAUGAAGAAAGCCUUCGGGUUGUAAAGUACUUUUGUUAGGGAAGAAAAGGGAAGUGCUAAUACCACUUUUUGCUGACGGUACCUAAAGAAUAAGCACCGGCUAACUACGUG
rnacentral:rRNA from 1 species